rnacentral:rRNA from 1 species
AGAGUUUGAUCAUGGCUCAGGACGAACGCUGGCGGCGUGCUUAACACAUGCAAGUCGAACGAUGACGAUGGUGCUUGCACCGUCUGAUUAGUGGCGAACGGGUGAGUAACACGUGAGUAACCUGCCCUCCUCUUCGGGAUAACCGCCGGAAACGGUGGCUAAUACCGGAUAUGAAUGCCUGCCGCAUGGUGGGUGUUGGAAAGAUUUAUCGGUGGGGGAUGGACUCGCGGCCUAUCAGUUUGUUGGUGAGGUAAUGGCUCACCAAGGCGAUGACGGGUAGCCGGCCUGAGAGGGCGACCGGCCACACUGGGACUGAGACACGGCCCAGACUCCUACGGGAGGCAGCAGUGGGGAAUAUUGCACAAUGGGCGAAAGCCUGAUGCAGCGACGCCGCGUGGGGGAUGACGGCCUUCGGGUUGUAAACCUCUUUCAGCAGGGAAGAAGCGAGAGUGACGGUACCUGCAGAAGAAGCGCCGGCUAACUACGUGCCAGCAGCCGCGGUAAUACGUAGGGCGCAAGCGUUGUCCGGAAUUAUUGGGCGUAAAGAGCUUGUAGGUGGCUUGUCGCGUCUGCCGUGAAAACCCGAGGCUCACCUCGGGCGUGCGGUGGGUACGGGCAGGCUA